ensembl:snRNA U6 U6 spliceosomal RNA
UUGCUUCGGCAGCACAUAUACUACAAUCGGAAUGCUCCAGAGAGGAUUAGGAUGGCCCCUGUGCAAGGAUGACACACAAAUUUAGGAAGCAUUCCAUAUUUUU